GACGAACGCUGGCGGCGUGCCUAAUACAUGCAAGUCGAACGAGAGCGACCGGUGCUUGCACUGGUCAAUCUAGUGGCGAACGGGUGAGUAACACGUGGGUAACCUGCCCAUCAGAGGGGGAUAACAUCCGGAAACGGAUGCUAAAACCGCAUAGGUCUUCGAACCGCAUGGUUUGAAGAGGAAAAGAGGCGCAAGCUUCUGCUGAUGGAUGGACCCGCGGUGCAUUAGCUAGUUGGUGAGGUAACGGCUCACCAAGGCCGUGAUGCAUAGCCGACCUGAGAGGGUGAUCGGCCACAUUGGGACUGAGACACGGCCCAAACUCCUACGGGAGGCAGCAGUAGUGAAUCUUCCGCAAUGGACGCAAGUCUGACGGAGCAACGCCGCGUGAGUGAAGAAGGUUUUCGGAUCGUAAAACUCUGUUGUUAGAGAAGAACAAGUGCUAGAGUAACUGUUAGCGCCUUGACGGUAUCUAACCAGAAAGCCACGGCUAACUACGUG
rnacentral:rRNA from 1 species